GUCCACGCCGUAAACGAUGAGAGCUAGUUGUUGGCAUGCAUGCAUGUAAGUAACGCAGCUAACGCAUUAAGCUCUCAGCCUGGGGAGUACGGCCGCAAGGUUAAAACUCAAAGAAAUUGACGGGGGCCCCGCACAAGCGGUGGAGCAUGUGGUUUAAUUCGAAGCAACGCGCAGAACCUUACCAACCCUUGACAUGCCGUGCCAAGCUGAGAGAUCAGCCGUUCCUUCGGGACGCGGACACAGGUGCUGCAUGGCUGUCGU
rnacentral:rRNA from 1 species